UCCGGUUUGGCACCGGCAGUCUUCCUAGAGUCCCCGCCAUUACGCGCUGGCAACUAAGAACAGGGGUUGCGCUCGUUGCGGGACUUAACCCAACAUCUCACGACACGAGCUGCCGUAUUUCUACGACAUUCCUAUGCACGUCAAGCCUAGGUAAGGUUCUUCGCGUUGCGUCGAAUUAAACCACAUGCUCCACCGCUUGUGCGGGCCCCCGUCAAUUCCUUUGAGUUUCAGCCUUGCGGCCGUACUCCCCAGGCGGGGCACUUACUGCGUUAGCGACGGCACCGGGAGGGUCGCUCCCCCCGACGCCUAGUGCCCAUCGUUUACGGCGUGGACUAC
rnacentral:misc_RNA from 1 species